UGGGGAAUAUUGGGCAAUGGAGGGAACUCUGACCCAGCGACGCCGCGUGCGGGAUGAAGGCCUUCGGGUUGUAAACCGCUUUCAGCAAGGAAGAAGCGAAAGUGACGGUACUUGCAGAAGAAGCACCGGCUAACUAUGUGCCAGCAGCCGCGGUAAUACAUAGGGUGCAAGCGUUGUCCGGAAUUAUUGGGCGUAAAGAGCUCGUAGGUGGUUCGUCACGUCGGAUGUGAAAAUCUGGGGCUUAACCCCAGACCUGCAUUCGAUACGGGCGAGCUAGAGUGUGGUAGGGGAGACUGGAAUUCCUGGUGUAGCGGUGGAAUGCGCAGAUAUCAGGAGGAACACCAAUGGCGAAGGCAGGUCUCUGGGCCAUUACUGACACUGAGGAGCGAAAGCUGGGGGAGCGAACAGGAUUAGAUACCCUGGUAGUCCACGCCGUAAACGGUGGGCACUAGUUGUGGGAACCUUCCACGGUUUCUGCGACGCAGCUAACGCAUUAAGUGCCCCGCCUGGGGAGUACGAUCGCAAGAUUA
rnacentral:rRNA from 1 species